rnacentral:rRNA from 1 species
AUGAAGCGCCGCGGGGAAACUAACGCGCGAAGACGGCUGACCAAGCGUCGCCAGGCCGGGGCGUCCGACCUCCCGCCGCCGGUGCCGAGGAAACGGGUCACGGUAGUCGCGUCUGGCCAGAGGAAUAAGGAGAUAUCGGCGGCAUCCCCUCUUCCGAUUGCCCCCCAACCGUCGUCUGUUACCGUCGUGUCGACCAUCACCGACUCCGACAGGGGAGAUAACUCCAUGGCCAAUAAUCAGGGGAUAGAUUCUGAUGUAAAGAAAUCAGUGAUGAAUCCUCAUCAUCUUGAGAUCGGCGCCAUCAAGGACAACAAGCUGUACAUCGACAUGAAUGCUUGGGCGUUCCUGCGUUUCAAGAGCAACCCUCUGGACAAAAAAGCUAUAAGUGUGUAUCAUGCUGAAAUUUUUACAUACAAACCAAAAGAGAAGCAUGCGAUUUACAUCUUUGAGGUUGGUCUCCCAGAAAUCCAUGCUGAUACACUUCAGGACAAUAUAUCUAUCUACGUGAGAUCACUUGUGGGUAAACAUAAAGAUAGAACAGUGGUUUGCACGCUAUCUAAGGCACAACCAAAUGUGCGGCUUGGACUUGUUCUACCAGAUGAGUUUGAGCUGUCACAUAGCGCAUCUAGGAAAAUCGUACAUUUCAAUGCCUAUGAAGUGAAGAAAAGAUCAAAGCGCAUUUCCCAAUCCCAAUACAUAUCUCAAAUUGAGACAGAUAAACUUAUAUGGGUUGCAAAGCUUAAGGCAUCUCAAAGUCCUGAGUUUCAUCCCAAUGUGGAAGGAAAGAAGUAUCACCUUUUGAAGGUUUAUAAAACAAAACCUUCUCCCGACAUCACACUAUAUGCUGAAUACAAAGGUGUUAAAAGAGAACUGGGCACUAUCUCAGAUGACAUGUCAAUGGUGGAUUGUGUGUUUGAAUUUGAUGACACUUUCCGGUUGUCCCAUAAUUCAAAAACUGCCAGUGUUACCUUCUCGGGCUACACUGUAGCGUGCAAUCAAUCUUUUGAGCUUGAAGAUCUAGCCAGUAAUUCGGAUGUCUUUAUGCUGAAGCCACCAAAGGAAGUUGUGGAUGAUGAAUACUUAGCUUACCGAGCAGUGCUUGCGAAAAGAAACGGUGGCACAGCCAGCAUUCCGUCUAUCAAACAGGGUGAGGUGUUGCCACUACGUGCUCCAGUUUUCUCAGAGUCCUUCAAGUUGCUCCGGCGGGCUCAAGCAGUGGCUGCGAAAAGAAAAGGUGGCACAGCAAGCAAGCAAGCUAUCAAACAGCGUGAGGUGUCGCCAAUACCUGCUCCAGUAAUCUCUCUGUCCACUGUCUUCAACGGCCUCCAGCGGGAUUGA